rnacentral:rRNA from 1 species
AUUGAACGCUGGCGGCAUGCCUUACACAUGCAAGUCGAACGGUAACAGGUUAAGCUGCCGAGUUGCGAACGGGUGAGUGAUGCAUCGGAGCGGGCCCAAUAGUAGUCUAUAGCCCGGCGAAAGCCGGAGUAAUACCGCAUACGACCUAAGGGUAUACGGGGUAGAUCGCAAGACCUCUCGCUAUUGGAGCGUCCGAUGUCAGAUUAGCUAGUUGGUGGGGUAAAAGCUCACCAAGGCGACGAUCUGUAGCUGGUCUGAGAGGACGAUCAGCCACACUGGGACUGAGACACGGCCCAGACUCCUACGGGAGGCAGCAGUGGGGAAUUUUGGACAAUGGGCGCAAGCCUGAUCCAGCCAUGCCGCGUGCGGGAAGAAGGCCUUCGGGUUGUAAACCGCUUUUGUCAGGGAAGAAAUCCUUUGGGUUAAUACCUCGGGGGGAUGACGGUACCUGAAGAAUAAGCACCGGCUAACUACGUG